GAUGAAGAACGCAGCGAAAUGCGAUAAGUAAUGUGAAUUGCAGAAUUCAGUGAAUCAUCGAAUCUUUGAACGCACCUUGCGCCCCCUGGUAUUCCGGGGGGCAUGCCUGUCCGAGCGUCAUUGCUGCCCUCAAGCACGGCUUGUGUGUUGGGCCUCCGUCCUCCUCCCGGGGGACGGGCCCGAAAGGCAGCGGCGGCACCGCGUCCGGUCCUCGAGCGUAUGGGGCUUCGUCACCCGCUCUUGUAGGCCCGGCCGGCGCUUGCCGACACAUCAAUCUUUUUUCCAGGUUGACCUCGGAUCAGGUAGGGAUACCCGCUGAACUUAAGCAUAUCAAUAAGCGGAGGA
rnacentral:misc_RNA from 1 species